GUGCUCUGCUAUUAGUUGCAUAAAUAUAUAUAAUUUUUAUAUCUGUGAUAAAUUGACCCCUUUGUCAUUAUAUAAUUACCUUCUUUUUCUUUUUUUACAGUGUUGACUCACACUCUCCUUUGUCCUAUAUAAUUAUAGCUGCCCCUGCUUUCUUUUGGUUUCCACAUGCAUGGAACAUCAUUUUUCAGCCUUCAGUCCAUGUGUAUCCUUAAAGCCGAAGACAAAUGAUUAAAAAGAAGCAGGCCAGUCUCACAGCUUGAAGGUAUGAGGAGGACUGAUCUUUCUAACCACAUUGUACAGUUCUGGACAUGUCCCAAGAGAACUUACAGUUCAAUGUGAUUAAAGGACAAAGGAUGAAUGUGUGAAGACUGAAAAGACAAGUUCUGGCUAUUCCAUCGAGGGCCUCAUUUGUGAAGCUAAGGCAUGUGAACCUUCCCUCUGGUGUUAAGGACCCAUCAAGAUCGUUAAACAAUGGAGAUGAUCAAAUUAUUUACUGCUUCACUAGCAUAAGAACCAGCCCUUGAGAAGACUAUACAGAGGUGACCUGGUUGAAGGUCUAAACUCAUCACUCUUAUUACAUGUAUGAACAAAUUGCUUCAUCUCUGAGGAAUUCAGUUUCUUAAUAUAAGUGAAAAAAAAGAAUCGUCAUAUUUCAUUGUUUCUAAGGUAAUUUAUAACUCCAAACUCUAUAAAAUUCUUAAUUAAAUUUUUCAAAAAUCUUAGUUGCAUGUUCAAAUAAAACUGCAUAUUUUGAAAUCUGGUAUGUAGCUCAUUUGCUCCUUUAUUUCUUGCCAUUCAUUUUUCCCCAUUUGACUCCAUUUAGCUACCCUGUACUUUAUCACUUUACUUCUCUAAAAUAACAGUGACUUCAUAGAGAGACUUCUCUAAACAGAACUUCUAUAUUCUUGGUAGUGUAACAGAGGGUUAAUUUCAGGGAAAAGCUGGCUGUUCUGUGCUAGUUAAUUGAAAUAAAAAGGCAAAGGAG
rnacentral:lncRNA from 1 species